rnacentral:lncRNA from 1 species
CAUUAGAGUAGAAAAUUAUAUUACUUGAAGACGUUUGUUACAAUUAAUGCAAAAACUAGUAACAAUACAAACACUAAUGCCAAACCCAAACAAUGACCCAUAUACUUAAUCUUCAACUUCAUUAAAUCUUCGAUUUUCUUUGUUUCUCUAAUUAAAUCCAUAAGCUCAUCAUUUAUCUUUCAUAGAUCUAAUCACAUCCUUUGCACAGUUGUUCAUGUCUUCAUCAAACCAUUCAAAAUAGUUAUACCAUUUCUCCUCAUCAACUUAAAAUGAUCACAACCAUAAAAUAUUUUUCCGAGAUUCUCGUAAGUCCAUGAUGUCAUCAAUGGAGACUUAAGCUUACACCAACAUCUAUUCUCUCUUCUUCUUAGACCGGACUGAUUU